GGGACUGUUCCCCCUACAUCGGGUCACUUGGCAGAUAUGGAUUGACACCUUGUUACAAACUGCUAUUUGUAACGGGCCCUUUAAAUGGCAAAUUGCCCUGUUUCCCUGGGUUGUGGAGAAGCCUCUUUGCCAGCCUCCUCCCGCAUGACUAUGGCCCCUGGGAGAUUGUGAAAAUGUAUGCACUUUUAUUUGGUGUGUAUGGCCCUUUAAGA